rnacentral:rRNA from 1 species
ACGGGUGAGUAAUAUAUCGGAACGUAUCCAAUAAUGGGGGAUAACUAUCCGAAAGGAUAGCUAAUACCGCAUACGCCCUGAGGGGGAAAGCUAGGGAUCUUCGGACCUGGCGUUAAUGGAGCGGCCGAUAGCUGAUUAGCUAGUUGGUGAGGUAAAGGCUCACCAAGGCGGCGAUCAGUAGCUGGUCUGAGAGGACGACCAGCCACACUGGAACUGAGACACGGUCCAGACUCCUACGGGAGGCAGCAGUGGGGAAUUUUGGACAAUGGGGGCAACCCUGAUCCAGCCAUUCCGCGUGAGUGAAGAAGGCCUUCGGGUUGUAAAGCUCUUUCGCAAGGGAAGAAAACUUAGUCUCUAACAUAGACUGAGGUUGACGGUACCUUGAUAAGAAGCACCGGCUAACUACGUGCCAGCAGCCGCGGUAAUACGUAGGGUGCGAGCGUUAAUCGGAAUUACUGGGCGUAAAGCGUGCGCAGGCGGCCUUAAAAGUCAGAUGUGAAAUCCCCGAGCUCAACUUGGGAACUGCGUUUGAAACUCUAAGGCUAGAAUAUGUCAGAGGGGGGUAGAAUUCCACGUGUAGCA